rnacentral:lncRNA from 1 species
CUGGGUCCUUGUCUGGUUGUGGUAUCAGGAUAAUGCUGGUCUCAUAGAAUGAAUUAGGAAGAAUUUUCUCCUCUUUAAUUUUUUGGAAUACUUUGAGAAGAAUUCGUGUUGUUCUUCUUUAUAAGUCUUGUAGGUUUCCACAAGACAGUCAUCUGGUCCUGGGUUUCUCUUUUUUUGGGAGAUUUUUUAUUACUGAUUCAGUUUCAUUAAUCAUUAUUGGUCUGUUCAGGUUUUCCGUUUCUUUUUGUUUCAGUCUUGGUAGGUUGUAUGUCCAGGAAUUUAUCCAUUUCCUCUGUUAUUCAGACCAAAAUCUUGAAGAACGAAUCCUCAGAAAGCCCAUCAACUGCUACUCAAAUGGCGACAAGCCUGCAAGCACAAGGUUUAGUGAGAGUAGAAUUGCUGCUAACAGUGAAUGUGGAGGAUUCUGAUCUCAAAUUGUAGAUGGUUCUGUGAGGCUUUUUGAAGUCUGGCCCAUAUCUAGGCCUUUAAACCUUAGUAAUAGGGCAGGGGAUCAUCUAAAUUUAGGUCUACUUAUUUUCCAUGCGUUCGAACAUUUUGUUGUUGUUGUUGUUAGACCAAACUUGCUUCAAAAUUGACUUGAACUGUAGUGCAGUUCUUGGCAUGUUUUACUAGUAAUAAUAAAAAAAUCACUUAAUGAUCGCUAUGUGCAAGGCAUUGUGCUAAUACAUACACACGUUUUGCAUAUACAUAUGUAUAUUUCACUGACUCUUCAAAACCGUCUUUUUCCUUUUUGCAGUAAGCAACAAAAUUAUUCAUUCAUUUAUCUCACAUUCUUGGGCUGAGUUAUGGACUAGGGCUGCCAAAACACAUGGCCCCUGAGCCGUAAGAACUUAGUUUACUGAGGAUCAGACUUUUAAACAAAUAGUUACCAUGCAGUGUGAUGACUGCAUUAGCAAAAACAUAUCUAAAAUACAGCCUAGAAAAAAGGUAAUUAACUUUUCCAGACAGGAGAGAGGUGUUGUGGUGUCAGGGGAAUUUAAUUUUAAACAGGACAUGGCAUCUGAACACAUUCUUUGUAAGUCCCAUCUUUUCUCCUCAAGCAUGAUCUAGCUACUCUGACCUUCUCCUGGUCUCUUCUGCUCAAACAGCACGUUUUCCUUUAUCUUACAAUUGCACUCUUUAUUCUGCAGACAGUCCUCUCUUGCUUUAUUCACUGAUAGUUUAUUGUUCAUGGCUGCCUCUUUUUAUUUUUACUUUUAAUCACAUUAUUAAUUUUUAUUUUUUGUAGAGUUGGGAGUCUUCUUUUGUUGCCCAGGCUGGUCUGGAACUCCUGGCCUCUAGUGAUCUUCCUGCGUCAGCUUCUUAAAGGGCUGAGAUUACAGGUGUGAGCCACCAUGCCCGGCCUUCUUUUAAGUACAAUUAAAAUUUUUUUUUUCUUUAGAGGUGGGGUCUUGCUAUGUUACUCAGGCUGGUCUUGAGCAGUUCUUCAAAUUAAAAUUUUAAUAACUUUCUUGAGGAAUGAUUCAUAUAUUGUAAGACUAACCUGUUUUAAAUGUAUAAUUCAAUGGUUUUUAAAGUAAAUUUACUGAGUCAAAAACCACCACUUGAAGUAGUGGCAUUAAUCUCAUUUUCUCAGGUGGAGAGUGGGGCUCAGGGAAAUGAGGUUUUGGAUCCGUACACAUCCAGCUAGUCCCUCGCAGAGCUGGAAUUCAAAUGAGUGUAAUGGCUCAUUAAAGCAUACUUAAGUUUGCAAGAGGGAAAUAAGCCCAUGAAGUUUUUGAGUAGAAGGGCGCCUUUAUUACCUUGGAAUCUAAGGACUAGUUAUAUCAUGAAACUAGAAAGUGUCAUUCACAGAGGGUUUAGGUAAAAACACUGGCAAAGAGGACUGAAUUAUGUGUAGUUUGAAAGAUGAGUGAAAAUACUCUAACAGUUGACCCAACAAUCCAUGUGUGUAGCAAAGCCACAAAUUAAAAUGUUUACUUGCAAUGUUAAUAAUGAACCGCUUUGGUUACUUUCAUUCUAAACCAUUAUGCUUAUUAUUUAGCUUUCCAGGGUACUUACAAAUGUUAAUUUCCUGAUAGAGAAUAUUUUCUUAUUCUCACCCCCAAGCAAGCUGUGACAUGGAAUAGUCCAACAGUCAAUUCAUAAGAGCAAGGCUCUCCCUCUCUUUCCCAUCCAAAUUAUGGGGUUUGAAAUGUUCUGACAAUUGAAUUAGUUGACUGGUACAACAGUAGCGAAUGCUUUGUAAUUUGUGUUGCCUUCAGAGAUGGCAAAAAUUAGGCUGCUGCUAAUAGACCAGAACUGUCUGGACUCUGACAAGCUUCCCUCCUGCCUUCAGCAGAAGGGAGGACAGCGGCUCCUGCUAUUCAACUCUGAAUUAUGUUUUACAUGCCACAGUUCUGAUUUUUUUUUUUUUUUGAGACAGAGUCUCGCUCUGUCACCCAGGCCGGAGUGCAGUGGCAUGAUCUCGGCUCACUGCGAUCUCCGCCUCCCAGGUUCAAGCGAUUCUCCUGCCUCAGCCUCCUGAGUAGCUGGGAUUAUAGGUGCGCACCACCAAGCGCAGCUAAUUUUUAUAUUUUUAGUAGAGACAGGGUUUCACCACGUUGGUCAGGCUGGUCUUGAACUCCUGACCUCGUGAUCUACCCGCCUCAGCCUCCCAAAGUGCUGGGAUUACAGGUGUGAGCCACUGCGCCCGGCCCGCAGUUCUGAUUUUUGAAUAUCAAUGCUGGGAAAAUGACAGCAGUGCUCGAGAUAGUUGCUGACAGGGUAAAGCUACCUAUUCCCUUUGCUAAAAGGAAGGCUCAAACGCAGCCUGUGCAGAGGGCUCUGCUGGGUUAGUAUGCUGGGCUCCUCUCUUUAUGCGUUCAUCAUUCCAGUAAUGGAGUUGAAUGUGCAGAAGGCCUUCCCCGCCCCUGUUUUUGGGCUAAGAAGCCACAGGAAUAGUCUCAAUUCAAUACUGGGACACUCAGGCAGGGAUAACUAGAUUGUGUUAUACCUUACAGGUCAAUAUCAAAGGAAAUGUAUUUCAGAUGAUUCUAAGUUCAGUAUUUUAUUUCAUAUUCAGCAAACUAAGGCUAGGUCAGAGUCAGUUUUCAGGAAGUAACCUAACACCCCUCCUUUGCCCUAAAAUGGGAGUUCACAAACUUUUUCUGUGAAGAGGCAGAUAGGAAAUAUAGGCUUUGUGGGCCAUAGGGUCUCUUAUUGCAAUGACUUAACUCUGCCUUAAAAUGUGAAAGCAACCAUAGACAACACAUGAAAUGAAUGAAUGUGGUUGUGUUCCAAUAAAACUUUACUUAUGGAUGCUGAAAUCUGGAUUUCAUAUCAUUUUCACAUGUCAUAAAAUACUAUUAUUCUGAUUUUUUUUCAAUCAUUUAAACAUGUAAAAACCAUCCUUAGCUUGUGGAUAAUACGAAAACAGGUCAUGGGCUGGAUUUGGCCGGUGGAUUGUAAUUUGCCACCCUUUGCCCUAAAGCAUUAGAGAUUCCUCUAAUGUAUUCCAGGUAUGCGUGCAAUUGUUUUCCAGUAUGUGAGCCAUCCUUUUCUGCCAAAGUCCGUCUACCUAUUCAGGAGGUAAUGCAGAGUGACAUGGAUAGAAAACCAGAAACCCAACUGAAACCAGGACAUUUCAGUCUUCCGCCUUCAUCACUUGCUGCCUCCUCUCUCUCUCCCUCACACACCUCUACUUGAUGCUCAUGGCACCCUUUCUUGAUGACAUGGGAUCUCAUUUCUAUUCUUUGGGAUCCUGGUAAGUUGCAUUAAUCAGAAAUGUAGAAUUUUGCAUUAAAAUUAAAAUAAAGCAAUUAGCAUUCAGCAGAAUGUUACAGAAGUAGUAAGGGCAAGGAUAUUGUUUCCUUUACAGAAGUGGGUUUGGAAAGAUCUAUUUGUUUUCUUUAUUCAUUUUCAGAUAAUUUCUCAUUACUGGUUAUAAAAUGAAAUUAGUUGAGUAUUACAAGCUGUGUGCUCUAAUACAAAUUUAUUGAAGUUCUAUUUGAAUGGAUUUUUUUAGUGCUUAUGUAGUGAAUAGUGGUUAUUUGGGAUGCAGAGGUCUCUCUGAACUAUGGACAGGUGCAAGAACUGUUCAGGCACACCACAGUUAUUGGUUGGUUGCAUGAAUAGUCUGUGAGAUGAGACCCAAGAUCAGGUUAGAGUUCACCUAUGCUCAGAAAUUUGGUGCUCAAAUAAUGGUGUAAUGGAGGCAGCAUUGCACUAUGACCUCUAAACUGACGCAUACAGGCUUGUGACUUAUUUUUCACAUCUGUGAAAUAGAGAUGAUUGACAUGCACUUGAUUUGUCAGAAUCAAGUGAGACAGUUUAUGUUUGCCAAGUCUGAGUGUAGUCUCUCGUUCAUGGUUCACAAACUGGGCUGGUUAUUAGAAUCAGUUGUGGAAGUGAGUGGGGCUUUCAGGAAAUACAAAUUCCCAGGCUCACCCCAGACUUACAGAAUCAGCAUUUCUAUGAUAGGACCUAGAAGUCUAAAUUUUUUAGACUUUGGGAAGCUCUGAUAUGUUCCAUAAACCUCAGCAAUGGAUUUAAGUAAACCAAAUACUUCCCUCAACCCAAGCUUGGACUUUUUCACUAAAAUUUCAUACCAUUUGUCUUCAUGAACAAUAAAGGUAUAGGAAGAAAGAGGGUCAGGAAGGGUACAAAGUAUCUUCCCUUUAUCUUCUUGGGGACGUCUGUUUCAGCAAGUAGAAGCAGAGCAAGAGCUGGUGUUUCAUUGUCCAACCUGGUGAAUGAACUCCAAUUGCGUUUUUUACCCCUUCAGCUCUCCCUCUGCAGCCCUGAGAUUUAUGGUGUUGUUUUCACCUUCUUCUGUGCAUUGAAGCAUAUUUGUGAAGGAAAGUCUAGAUUGUGCACAUCAUAAAUGUACAACAGAUUGACAAUAUCCUUUCCAGUUUUGCUACUCAAAACUCAUCAUUGAAAAUGUCUUUUUGAGUUAUUUCUGGAAAUAACACAAUUGUAGUGUUGGCACAUAUAGAUCACAAACACAAAAAGAAUCUCGGUAGUUCUAAAAAGAUAAACUAAUUCUGAAUUUCUCACAUUUUCUGCAUUGCUGCUAAUUUACAUGUGAGUAAUUGUAGAUUUCAAAUGAAUGAAAGCAUCCACCUCCACACUGGAAGCCCAGAUUGUUUACCGCAGUAGAAUUCAGUAGUAUGUACAUACACACAAAUGCUCUCAUAUAGUACUCUGCAACUUCCUGAUGUUUGAGAGCCACAACAAAGUAUUCUUCUGUUUACAAAACUUCUACCACAAAUAUUAAGUAUUUACUAUUUUCCAGGUACCUUGUUAGCAAUUUAAAUAAGGCAUAGUUCCACAGUCCUUAUCUUGGAAGUUCACAGGCUAGAAGGAAGAUGAUCAUGAAAUAAAUCACUGUAGAAAAAAUAAGCUUUAAUAUUAAUCCUUUUUAAAAUCAAAUCAUCUUUCAAACUGUAUUCGUUAUAAAAGUAGAGAAUUUUUCCCAUGGAAAAAAUACGAGAUCAAUGUAUUCACUCUGAUCCUUUAUACUAUAUCCCUGUUUUUAUUAAUUUUAAGGAGCUAAUCCUUUGAAAGUAAGUAGAUGCCUAACAAAUAUGUGAGGGACUAACAGGAGAGUAUCUUGUACAUGUAAUAAUGCAGUUGGAUGUGUUCAUACCUGUUGUGCAGCAUCCAUUUCAAGCUUCAGCUAUCUCUGGAAGAUGACUUUGUUUUUUUUUUUUUGAAAUGGAGUCUCGCUGUGUCACCCAGACUGGAGUGCAGUGGCAUGAUCUCCACUCACUGUAGCCUCCGCUUCCCGGGUUCAAGCAGUUCUCCAGCCUCAGCCUCCCAAAUAGCUGGGACUACAGGCACACACCACCACACCUGGCUAAUUUUUUUGUAUUUUUAGUAGAGACGGGGUUUCACUAUGUUGGCUAGGCUGGGCUUGAACUCCUGAACUCAAGUGAUCCUCCCACCUCGUCCUCCCAAAGUGCUGGGAUUGCAGGCGUGAGCUACCACGCCCAGCCUGGAAGAUGUCUUUGGAUACUGGGUCUCUACUCUGUGUCUCCAAGUCUCCAGAGAUAAUUUUCAGCAAAUUCCUGAAUACCACCACUUUCCUACUCUCUAAUGUUUCUUAAACUCAAUAUAUGAAAAAUAGAACUUAUUCUUACUCUCAAACCUGAUCUUUUCUUUUAGGUUUCUUAUAUCAGGGAGCCCUGUUGCCAUUUUUCCAGAUGCAGAGGCUUCAAACUUUGACAUCAUCUCUGACUCUUCCUCCCUCUUGACCCUAAUCAGGAGCCAGAUGCUAUUGGGCCUUUGUCUCCCUUCCUGUCCACUGGAGCUAAUUUGGUUUGGCGCUGUGUUCCCACACAAAUCUCAUCUCGAAUUGUAAUCCCCAGUGGUUUUCCCCAUGAUGUUCUUGUGAUAGUGAGUUCUCACAAGAACAGAUGGUUUAAAAGUGUUUGGCAGUUCCCCACCUCUCUCCUGCUGCCAUGUAAGACGUGCCUUGUUUCCUCUUUGCCUUCCACCAUGAUUCUAAGUUUCCUGAGGCCUUCCCAGCCGUGCAGAACUGAGUCAAUUAAACCUCUUUUGUUUAUAAAUUACCCAGUCUCAGGUAGUAUCUUUAUAGCAGUGUGAAAAUGGACGAAUACAGGCACCUUCCUGCUAUUAGAUCUUUGUUUCUCAAACUAGCAUCCAAGGACUCUUAAAAGGCUCCAUGCAAUAUUCUUGGGGAUUUGAGUGUUCCUCAUCUUAGGUUUUACAUGUCCGGGAUAAUCUAACAAUUUUUGUUUUUUUGAGACGGAAUCUCGCUCUAUUGCCCGGGCUGGAGUGCAGUGGCGCAAUCUCAGAUUACUGCAACCUCCACCUCCCAGGUUCAAGCGAUUCUUGUGCCUCAGCCUCCUAAGUAGCUGGGCAUAUGCCACCAUGACUGGCUGAUUUUUUUUGUAUUUUUAGUAGAGACGUGGUUUCACCAUGUUGUCCAGGCUGGCCUUGAACUCCUGACCUCAGGUGAUCUGCCUGCCUCACCCUCCAAAAGUGCUGGGAUUACAGUGUGAGUCACCACACCUGACCCACAAAAUUAACAAGUAUGUGUUUGGGGUCAUCAAAAUUUAUAAUUGAUGAGUGAUUCUGCUGCAGACUUGAACAUUCACAUUUGUGUUGUGUUUGUGUGUUGGCUCUAAGUUGGGCAACUCCUCCUCUGGGCUCUCUUUGUGCCAUGCUUUGUUCUUGUUACAAUUGUGUGAGUCCAACUUUCCUAGUGAACUGUGAGUUCAGAAGACAGGGACCUUGUCUGGUGUAUUUCUGUGUCCCCAGAACCUAGCAUUGGGCCUGGCACAUAGUAGGUACUUAAGCUUGUAGCUGUUGUGCAUAUCAUGUUUUGGAGUCUGCUUUUGCUCCCAUACACAUUCCCAUGCAUGGCUGUAGUUAAUUUAAUGUUUAUGUAGUAUUUAGUCAUGUUGAUAGAUGACAUUUGGCUUAACCAUCCUUUAUUUUUAGAUGUUUGGAUUAUUUUCAUUUGUUGGCUAUUUUAAGUAGCAUAGUUAAAAACAUCUUUGAGAAAAAUUAUUUUCUCUCAUCUAGAUUGUUUUCUUGGGAAUUCCUUAAUGAAAUCACUAGAUCAGCCAGGGGCUGGGGCUCAUGCUUGUAAUCCUGCACUUUGGGAGGCCAAGGUGGGCAGAUUACUUGAGCACAGGAGUUCAAAACCAGCCUCGGCAAAAUAGUGAGACCUUGUCUUUACAAAAAAAUUUAAAAGUUAGCUAGGUAUGGUGGCUUGUGUGCCUGUAGUCCCAGCUACACAGGAGGCUGAGGUAGGAGAAUGGCUUGAACCCACGAGGUUGAGGCUGCAGUGAGUCACUGCACUCCAGCCUGGGCAACAGAGCAAGACCCUGUCUCAAAACAAGAAAUUACUAGGUCAAGCAGUUUUAUUCCUCUUGUAAUAUGAUUGUAGGAUUUAGUGUUUAUGAAGAGAUCAGACUGAGUCAUAAUGGAUAAACUCUUUUUAGAUAUGUUUCUUUCAUUGGAAUCAAAGUUGAAAGAAAAAAUGAAGAUGCUUCUCCUUCUGCCACCUCACCAACGUUGCUCACCUGGGCCAUUUCCCUUCCUCUGGUUUUUCCAUCUGCAGCCACAACUUCAGUGAUGGAGGAAGUACAUGUUAGGUCAGCCAGAACCACGUUUCCGACAUGCAGAUCUAAUCAUGUUGUCGGUCAAGACACAGCGGUGGCCUUCCAUUGCCCACAAGAUCAAGUCCAGCCACACUGUCAGGGCCGACAGAGUCCUUCAGGGUGUGGCCUCUGUCUCCCUUUCUAGGCUUCUCUUUGGCUGCUGCCCAGAUGCACUCCCUGCCCACCCAGCAGGCACUAUUUUCAGUUAGGAAUGUACAUGCUGUUCCCUCCAUCUGAAAGGGACUCCUCAACUCCUUCCUUCUGGUAUCACCUCACUCACCCUUCAAGGCUCAGCUUCAAGUCCCAAGUACUGCCCUCCUCCCAGCCCUAAUAAGGUAAUAACCUGCCCCACCCCAUUCUCUCAGAAUUUUUCCAUCCUUCGUUAAAGACUUUGUCACCCAUAUUGAAGCUCUUUGUUAGUUUUUUUCAUCUUUUUAUUUAGAUUAUGAGCUCAUUAAGGACAGGAUUUUUUUUUUUUUUUUUUUUUUUUUUCUUGAGACAGAGUCUCACUCUGUUGCCUGGGCUAGAGUGCCAUGGUGCGAUCUCAGCUCACUGCAACCUCUGCCUCCCGGGUUCAUGCCAUUCUCCUGCCCCAGCCUCCUAAAUAGCUGGGAUUACAGGCAUGUGCCACCAUGCCUGGGUAAUUUUUGUAUUUUUAAUGGAGAUGGGGUUUCACCAUAUUGGCCAGGCUGGUCUCGAACUCCUGACCUCAAGUGAUCCACCUGCCUCGGCCUCCCAAUGUCCUGGGAUUACAGGCGUGAGCCACUGUGCCCUGCCCAGGACAGGACUUUUGUCAGUCACUUUGUGACUAGCAUAUAGCUGGUCCUCAAUAAACAUUUUCUGAAUGAAUAGAAUUGUUAUUUUGGUUUACAUAUAUAUAUGUAAAGUAGUUAAGGUAAGUCUACUUAUUGAUAAAUUGAGAACCCUUUUAUUCUAUCUAUGAUAAUUCUCAGUUGUUCAGAAUAUCAGUAAAUGUAUUAAACUCUUCCUUCUCCAACCAUUUGACAUGCGUUUUUUUGUUGUUGUUGUUGUUUUGUUUUUUUUAAUGGGCAGCAGUUGUAAUUUUGUUUAUUAACUAAACUGUAAACUCUAGACUGUAAGCGAUGUGAAGAAAUGUCGGUCGGGUGCCGUGGCUCAUGCUUGUAAUCCCUGCACUCUGGGAGGUCAAGGCAGGAGGAUCACUUGAGUCCAGGAGUUUGAAACUAGCCUAGGCAACAUGGCAAAACCCUGUCUCUACAAAAAAUACAAAAAUUAGCCGGGCGUGGUGGCAUGUGCCUGUAGUCCCAGCUACUUGUGGGGCUGAGGUGGGAAGAACGCUAGAGCCUAGGAAGUCAAGGCAUGCCAUCAAGUGAGCCAUGAUCAUGCCACUGCACUCCAACCCAGGCAACAGACCGAGACCCUGUCUCAAAAAAAAAAAGAGAAAUGUUGGAUAAACGUGGUGGCUCACGCCUAUAAUCCCAGCGCAUUGGGAGGCCAAGGCAGAAGAAUUGCUUGAGUCCAGGAGUUUGAGACCAGCCAGGGCAACAUAUAGAGACCCUGUCUCUACAAGAAAAAUUUAAAAAUUAGCCAGACAUGGUGACACACACCUGUAGUUCCAGCUACUCGGGAGGUUGAGGUGGGAGGAUCGCUUGAGCCUGGGAGGUCGAGACUGCCAUGAGCCAUGAUUGCAUCGCUGCACUCUAGCCUGGGUGACAGAGAAAGACCCUGUCUCAAAAAAAAAAAAAAAAAAAAGAGUCUAGUUCACCACCAUUUCCCUAGUGCUUAGUACUGUUGGGAACCUGGUACCCAUUAGGCACACAAUAACUAUUUGUUGAAUGAGUGGAAAGGUUGAAAAAAGGCCCAAGCAUGUGGCAUAUCACAAACCUUGACAUUGGGAAAAUUUAUGCAUACAUAUCUGUCCUAUUUCAUUCACCAUUCUUCUAUUCAUGUGUCCGUUUAACUCGCUGUUUUCCUUGAUAACCCCUGUGGCCUCUUCUAUGUCCACCAUUUCAUGACUCUGAAGGCGUAUUUGAGUCCUGUCAUCUCCUGCCCAUCUCUUCAGUGGGACACAUCUUGGAAUACAAACUUCAAGCCAGGAAGCUAAUACCUUGGUGUAGUAAGCAAGAUAGUCCCUCUGUCCCACAACAAAGAGGUCAGAGUCUCUAAGGCUGGCCCCUUCAUUUACCUCCAAUAUGAAGUCCAAAUCAACCUCCUGUUGUUCCUGGGAAUAACUAACUAAAUCACAUCUGCACGGCGGAGCUGAUUUAUAGGGAUGUGAUGUUAUCUGGAGCCUGCUGCCAAAACCUGCAGAAGUCAUCUUGAGGGAAACAUGAAGUAUUGGCAGAGAGAUCACAUCUCCCCUUUCCUAUAUUGAGUCUUCUUGGGAUAUGUGUUUCAUUUCUUGGGAUCCUGGUGAGAAUUUGCAUGUUUUUGACCACAGCAUAUUACAAGGAAAAAUUCCAUCUACUAAUUAGUUUCUCCCUUGGAUUACUAGUCCUAUUAAAAAGCUUUGUAAGGGAAUAAGAAACUGAGGUAGUAAUUACUAGUGGGGAAGGAGUAACAUAGUUUCAUGAGAGGAAAAUGUCCUCAACUAUGUUUUGGAGCAAUGGGAGACAGAAGAAGACUUAAAAACAAAUACAAAAGCAACCUGGGAUGGCGGCAAAAGUCUUGCUAUUUGGUUCAUUAAAAAAGGUGUUAUAAAUUCUCAAUGACCUACUCCUAGGCUUAGGAGUCCUAUUAAAACCCUGCUGUGUGAGAGCUAAAAUCUUAAUUGAAAAUAGAGCAGAUUGAGCCAACACUGUUAUUUAUUAAAGCUAUUGUCAAUGCUCACUGCUCUCAAAUGGAUUUUUCUUAUGAUGCUGGAAGGACUAUGGGAAGCUUUGCAGUCCAGAGCAUCAUUUAGCUUUAGCUGCAGGGCUAGCUGGAAACCAUAGUGCCUAGCAGCACAGAGCAGGGGCUGGGUGUCUGAGUGGCAGGGGCUGACAUAGCUGUACUAGAAGGAGGGUUGCACCCUCGUGGUAGAUGGCACAAAAUGAGGCUGACUCCUAUGUCAGGACAGAUACAUGAGCAGCCACAGGAGCAAAUGAAUGGUGCCAUGCACACAGAAGAAAGCCAAAUGUUGGAUGAAAGAGCACCAGGGAGGGCAGAGGAAGGCCAGGUCUUGGAUCUGAUAAAGAUGCUGUGUUUCGGUAGCUCUGUAUCCAAGCCCGUUGAAGUAUCCUUGGCUCUUAAUUUCAGGGGAAGCUAAUUCUUUUUUGUUUAUUUUUUUGAUUGUGGGUUUAAAAAAUGGAUACAUGAUAUUUUACAUACUUAUGGGGUACAUGUCAUAUUUUGUUACAUGCAUAGAAUAUGUAAUGAUCAAGUCAGGGUACCCAUCACCUUUAGUAUUUAUCAUUUCUCUGUGUUGGGUGCAUUUCAGGUUUUUGCUUCUAGUUAUUUUGAAAUACUGCAAUACAUGGUUUGUAACUAUUACAGUCACCCUACUCUAGUUUUUUUUCUUCUUCUUCUUUAGAUGGAGUCUUGCUCUGUCACCAGGCUGGAGUGCAGUGUCGCGAUCUCAGCUCACUGCAACCUCCGCCUAUCAGGUUCAAGGGAUUCUCCUGCCUCAGCUUCCCGAGUGACUGGGACUACAGGCACAUGCCACCAUGCCCAGCUAAUUUUUGUAUUUUUAGUAGAGAUGGGGUUUCACCACAUUGGCCAGGAUGGUCUCGAUCUCUUGACCUUAUGAGCCUCCCACCUUGGCCUCUCAAAGUGCUGGGAUUACAGGCAUGAACCACCGUGCCUGGCCGUACUCUGCUCUUGAAUAUUGGAACUUAUGCCUUCUAUCUAAGUCUAGGUUUGUACCCAUUAACCUCUUUUCAUCGCCCUCUCCCUUCCCAGCCUCUAGUGUCUAUCAUUCUACUUUCUACUUCCAUGACAUCAACUAUUUUUUAGCUCCUACAUAUGAGUAGUAUUUGUUUUUCUGUGCCUGGCUUAUUUCACUUAACAUAGUGAUCUCUAGUUCCAUCCAUGUUGAUGCAAAUGACAGGAUUUCAUUUCUUAUGGCCAAAUAGUAUUCCAUUAUGUAUAUAUACCAUAUUUUCUUUACUCGUUCGUCCAUUGAUGUACACUUAGGUUGAUUCCAUAUCUUUGCUAUUGUGAAUAGUGCUGCAAUAAACUAUUGUGAAUAGUGCUGCAAUGCACGCGUACCUACCCUUUGACAUACUGAUUUAUUUUCCUUCGGAUAAAUACUUAGUAGUGGGAUGGCUGGAUCAUACUAUAGUUCUAUUUUUAGUUUUUUUUUUUUUUUAAAUCUCCAAACUUUGUUCCACAAUGGAUAUACUAAUUUGUAUUACCACCAAUAGUGUGUAAGAGUUCCCUUUUUCCACAUCAUUGCCAGCAUUUUUUUGUCUUUUUAGUAAUAGCCAUUCUAACUGGGGUAAGAGAUCUCGUGGUUUUGAUUUGCAUUUCUCUGAUGACUAGUGAUGUUGAGCAUUUUUUUUUUUCAUAUACUUCUUGGCCAUUUGUACAUCCUCUUUUAAAAAAUGUCUAUUCAUGUCCUUUGCUCACUUUUCAAUGGAAUUAUUUAUUUGUUUGUUCACUGUUGAGUUGUUUGAGUUUCUUGUAUAUUCUGGAUAUUUGUCCUUUGUUUGAUGAAGAGUUGGCAAAUAUUUUCUUCCAUUCAACAGGUUGUCUCUUCCCUCUGCUGAUUGUUUCCUUUGCUGUGCAGAAGCUUUUUAGUUUAAUAUAGUUCGAUUUUUCUAUUUUUUUUUUUAUUCCUGUGCUUUUGAGGUUUUAGCCCUUGCCUAGACCAAUGUCCUGAAGUGUUUUUCCUAUGUUUUCUUCUAGCAGUUUUAUAGUUUUGGUUCUUAUGUUUAAGUUUUUAAUCUCUCUUGAGUUGAUUUUUAUAUAUGUUGAAAGAUAGUGGUCCAGUUUCAUUCUUCUGCAUAUGGCAAUCCAAUUUUCUGAACACCAUUUAUUGAAUGGGGUGUCAUUUUCCCAAUGUGUGUUUUUGGAGGCUUGGUCGAAAAUCAGUUGGUUACAAAUAUGUGGAUUUAUUUGUGGGUUCUCUAUUCUAUUCCAUUGGUCUCUGUGUCUGUUUUUAUACCAAUACCAUCCGUUUUGGUUACUAUAGCCUUGUAAUAUAUUUUGAAGUCAGGUAGUGUGAUGCCUCCAGCUUUGUUCAGUAUUGCUAUUUGGGCUCUUUUAUGGUUCUAUAUGAGUUUUACGAUUGUCUAUUUCUGUGAAAAAUGAUGUUGGUAUUUUGGGCAGUAUGUUUAUUUUAACAAUAUGAAUUCUUCUGAUCCUUGAGCAUGGGAUGUCUUUCCAUUUGUUUGUGUUCUUUUUAAUUUCUUUCAUCAGUGUUUUGUAAUUUUCCUUAUAGAGAUCCUUUACCUCUGCUAUAGUUUGGAUAUUUGACUUGCGAAACCUCGUGUUGAAAUUUAUUUCCCAUGUUGGAGAUGGGGCCUCAUGGCAGGUGUUUAGGUCAUUGGAGCAGAUCCCUUAUGAAUAGAUUAAUGUCCUUCCUGGGUGGAUAGUUCUCACUUUAUUAUUUCCCACAAGAGGUACUUGUUAAAAAAAGCCUGGUGCUUUCUUCCCCUCC